AGCUAACGCGUUAAGUCGACCGCCUGGGGAGUACGGCCGCAAGGUUAAAACUCAAAUGAAUUGACGGGGGCCCGCACAAGCGGUGGAGCAUGUGGUUUAAUUCGAUGCAACGCGAAGAACCUUACCUACUCUUGACAUCCAGAGAACUUACCAGAGAUGGAUUGGUGCCUUCGGGAACUCUGAGACAGGUGCUGCAUGGCUGUCGUCAGCUCGUGUUGUGAAAUGUUGGGUUAAGUCCCGCAACGAGCGCAACCCUUAUCCUUUGUUGCCAGCGGUCCGGCCGGGAACUCAAAGGAGACUGCCAGUGAUAAACUGGAGGAAGGUGGGGAUGACGUCAAGUCAUCAUGGCCCUUACGAGUAGGGCUACACACGUGCUACAAUGGCGCAUACAAAGAGAAGCGACCUCGCGAGAGCAAGCGGACCUCAUAAAGUGCGUCGUAGUCCGGAUUGGAGUCUGCAACUCGACUCCAUGAAGUCGGAAUCGCUAGUAAUCGUAGAUCAGAAUGCUACGGUGAAUACGUUCCCGGGCCUUGUACACACCGCCCGUCACACCAUGGGAGUGGGUUGCAAAAGAAGUAGGUAGCUUAACCUUCGGGAGGGCGCUUACCACUUG
rnacentral:rRNA from 1 species